rnacentral:tRNA from 1 species
AUUUAAAUAGCUUAUAUAAAGAGUAUAAUAUUGAAGCUAUUAAGGAGAUAAAAUUAUCUUUAAAUA